GGGAGACCGCUCACCGCGGUUCCGGACGACGGAUCAGUACCCGGCACGCGACAAGACUGGCCAUA
rnacentral:ncRNA from 1 species